GAUGAACGCUGGCGGCGUGCUUAACACAUGCAAGUCGAGCGAAGCACUUAAGUUUGAUUCUUCGGAUGAAGACUUUUGUGACUGAGCGGCGGACGGGUGAGUAACGCGUGGGUAACCUGCCUCAUACAGGGGGAUAACAGUUAGAAAUGACUGCUAAUACCGCAUAAGACCACGGUACCGCAUGGUACAGUGGUAAAAACUCCGGUUGGAUGAGAUGGACCCGCGUCUGCUUAGGUAGUUGUUGGGGUAACGGCCUACCAAGCCGACGAUCAGUAGACGGCCUGAGAGGAGUAGCGGCCACAUGGGGACGAGGACACGGCCCAGUCUCCUACGGGAGGCAGCAGUGGGGAAGAUUGCACAAUGAGGGAAACUCUGAUGCAGCGACGCCGCGUGAAGGAUGAAGUAUUUCGGUAUGUAAACUUCUAUCAGCAGGGAAGAAAAUGACAGUACCUGACUAAGAAGCCCCGGCUAACUACGUGCCAGCCGCCGCGGUAA
rnacentral:rRNA from 1 species